rnacentral:rRNA from 1 species
CCGGCGAGUGGCGAACGGGUGAGUAAUGCAUCGGAACGUGCCCAGUCAUGGGGGAUAACUACGCGAAAGCGUAGCUAAUACCGCAUACGCCCUGAGGGGGAAAGUGGGGGAUCUUAGGACCUCACGUGAUUGGAGCGGCCGAUGUCAGAUUAGCUAGUUGGUGAGGUAAAGGCUCACCAAGGCGACGAUCUGUAGCGGGUCUGAGAGGAUGAUCCGCCACACUGGGACUGAGACACGGCCCAGACUCCUACGGGAGGCAGCAGUGGGGAAUUUUGGACAAUGGGCGCAAGCCUGAUCCAGCCAUGCCGCGUGAGUGAAGAAGGCCUUCGGGUUGUAAAGCUCUUUCGCGAGGGAAGAAAACGUACGGGCCAAUACCCUGUGCGGAUGACGGUACCUUGAUAAGAAGCACCGGCUAACUACGUGCCAGCAGCCGCGGUAAUACGUAGGGUGCGAGCGUUAAUCGGAAUUACUGGGCGUAAAGCGUGCGCAGGCGGUUUUGU